ACUUCCACUGCUGCACCAAGAGGAUACCCAUCUUCUGCUGGACUUGGAAUUCCUGGAGAACUGCUUUGUGAAAAGCUGACAAUAAUUUCUUUAAAUCCCAUCUCUUGGAGAGACCAAGAUGGC
rfam:Myotis brandtii contig209375, whole genome shotgun sequence.